GCUCGUAGUUGGAUUUGUGGCAGUCGCGUGCGGCCCGGCAUUCGUGCCGGUGCUUGCUAGCGUCGCCAUCCUUGGGUGGAACCUGUGUGGCAUUAGGUUGUCGUGCAGGGGAUGCCCAUCGUUUACUGUGAAAAAAUUAGAGUGUUCAAAGCAGGCUUAUGCCGUUGAAUAUAUUAGCAUGGAAUAAUAAGAUAGGACCUUGGUACUAUUUUGUUGGUUUGCGCACCAAGGUAAUGAUUAAUAGGGACAGUUGGGGGUAUUCGUAUUCCAUUGUCAGAGGUGAAAUUCUUGGAUUUUUGGAAGACGAACUACUGCGAAAGCAUUUACCAA
rnacentral:rRNA from 1 species